UCCUAGCCCCGAUUGCAGCGGAAAGCGCCCACAGGGCCUUGCAGCGAAAAGCGGGACCGCAG
rnacentral:sRNA from 1 species